AAUAAAAUGGCCGAGUUUUAAAGCGAUAAAUUGUAAAUUUAUUAACGGGAAAUUUCUCUUUUAUUA
rnacentral:tRNA from 1 species